AUUAAAUGAGAGUUUGAUCCUGGCUCAGGACGAACGCUGGCGGCGUGCCUAAUACAUGCAAGUAGAACGCUGAAGACUUUAGCUUGCUAGAGUUGGAAG
rnacentral:rRNA from 1 species